rnacentral:lncRNA from 1 species
GGGCAUCCCUUAAUUCAGUCAAGUGGACACCUGAAAUUAAGCGUCACGGUACUGCAGUGCUUUGCAUCUUUGCCUCACUUCCAGUUUCUUUUUCUUUCACUGUCUUUGUCAGUGCCUUGUAGUUUUUAAAUAAAGGAUUAAAAUUGUAAUCCUUGUUUCACACUCUACUUUCAGGAGAAUCUGUCCUAAGACAAUGCCCUAUUGGUGUGAAGCUUACCACACCUAAGUUCACAAAAUAGCAUUUUUCUCAGUGGCUUUUCCUGUGACAGUAUUACAGUUCUUUUGGGUAUUGCAAUGGGAUUAUAUAUACAGAUGGUCCCAAACUUACAAUAGUUCUCCUUAUGAUUUUUUUGAUUUUAUGAUGGUGUGAAUGUAGUAGGUAUUCAGUAGAAAUCAUACUUCAGUACAGUAUUCAAUGUUAAAGAUAGGCUAAAUUAAAUUAUGAUGUUUGGUAGGCUAGAUGUAUUAAAUGCAUUUUGGAAACACUAUUUUUUCAACUUAUGAUGGGUUUAUAAGUUUGCAGCUCUAUUAUAAAUUGAAGAGCAUCUUUAUAUACAAAAUGCAUUAUAUAUAUAUAUAAUUAAAGAGCUUCAGACAGCUAAAAUUAUGGGGAAGUUACUAAAUAAUACAAGCUGUUAUCAGUGUUAUUCCUCUUUAAAUUUCAUGUGAAGAGGAAAGAAAAAUCCUCACUGUACAAGGCUCUUUUAAAAGAAGAAACCUUUUGGGGGGAUUAUUGUUCAUUAUGGAAUCCCUCAGAGGUCAGCACCUUUCUUGGAAAGAAGACAAUAAAAAUGUAAUGAAUGGAUUAAGGAAUAAGGUCUCAGCACUAACAAUUGAACAUUUCUCAAUGAUUCCUAUUAUUGUUUCUGAUAUGAUGAUUGUCCUUUAUGCUUUAAGGUACACUUUGCUUUUAAAUAACUUUAUUUUCACCUCUG